GUUUAAGAAUUGUCAGUUCCCGUUGCACACUUCAUCAUGAACUUAAUUUCAGUGUGUGAUGCAUAUAGCUAAUAUGGAGGAGAGGCCAAUGUAGUGGGUUCUGGUCUGGAGAGUUUUUCAUGAAGAGAUGGAGAGCGCAUUGCAGCCAGGGAUGACUUGCCGAGGUUUCUUUGAAUUUGGAUUUGUCCCAUGCAAUUGGAAUCAUCGGCAAGAUGCAGCAUAUGCGUUGAGACUUGAGAGAGAAAGAGAAAGACUAACAAAAGUUUGCCACCAGGAAGAGAAUGCAGAAGUAAGAAAGCUUGGCUGAAGUUGCCAUUUUCCCCAUUUUCCCGGAGUAUUAGUCUUCUGAUGGUUCUUUGUAGUAGGAAAGGAGCAGAAUGUAUAGAGUCGGACAGCAGAAAAUUACCCGAGCAUGGGGAUUCAUUUUCUUGUUAUCUUCCAAUUUUUCCACUAGACCAAAUCAAGUUCACUUCUAAAUGAAGGGAAAUGAUAUCUGUACACUCUUGUUUGAUAACCAUGCAUCCUGUGUGUGGGUGUCAUAUCCUUCAAAGCAGAAUAAUAUUUGAAACCUCGAAUUGCUAAAA